rnacentral:rRNA from 1 species
UACGUAGGGUGCGAGCGUUGUCCGGAUUUAUUGGGCGUAAAGAGCUCGUAGGCGGUUUGUCGCGUCGGCCGUGAAAUCUCCACGCUUAACGUGGAGCGUGCGGUCGAUACGGGCAGACUUGAGUUCGGUAGGGGAGACUGGAAUUCCUGGUGUAGCGGUGAAAUGCGCAGAUAUCAGGAGGAACACCGGUGGCGAAGGCGGGGUCUCUGG